rnacentral:rRNA from 1 species
UACAGAGGUCCCAAGCGUUGUUCGGAUUUACUGGGCGUAAAGGGCGCGUAGGCGGUCAGCACAAGUCAGUUGUGAAAUCUCCGGGCUUAACUCGGAAAGGUCAACUGAUACUGUGCGACUAGAGUGCGGAAGGGGCAACUGGAAUUCUUGGUGUAGCGGUGAAAUGCGUAGAUAUCAAGAGGAACACCUGCGGCGAAGGCGGGUUGCUGGGCCGACACUGACGCUGAGGCGCGAAAGCCAGGGGAGCGAACGGG